rnacentral:rRNA from 1 species
GUGGGCUUUGCCCGCUACCUCUUACCCAUGUCUUUUGAGUACUUACGUUUCCUCGGCGGGUCCGCCCGCCGAUUGGACAAAAUUAAACCCUUUGCAGUUGCAAUCAGCGUCUGAAAAACAUAAUAGUUACAACUUUCAACAACGGAUCUCUUGGUUCUGGCAUCGAUGAAGAACGCAGCGAAAUGCGAUACGUAAUGUGAAUUGCAGAUUUCAGUGAAUCAUCGAAUCUUUGAACGCACAUUGCGCCCGCCAGUAUUCUGGCGGGCAUGCCUGUUCGAGCGUCAUUUCAACCAUCAAGCGCCUGCGCUUGUGUUGGAGCCCUGCGGCUGCCGCAGGCUCCCAAACCCAGUGGCGGGCUCGUCGUCGUACCGAGUGCAGUAAAUUUACCACGCUCAGGGCGCGCGACGGGUGACCGGCCGUAAAACCCCCCAACUUAUCAAGGUUGACCUCGGAUCAGGUAGGAAUACCCGCUGAACUUAAGCAUAUCAAUAA